AAGCUGUGUGAGGGGCGUGUUCUCUCUCACUCAUAAACAGUUUGGUCCUUAGUCCUUCUAUUGUACAAAUGAUGUACUUUGAAGACCAUUAGUGUAUAACAGAGUUGAUGUUUGUUGUACCAAAGGCAGGGGCCUGCUGCUGAAGCCUGGAGCUCUCUCUCUCUCCUUGAUGUUGACCUGCGGGCGAGCUCCCUGGUCCACUCCCAUUAUCAAGAGACUUCCGGAUUCUUGUGUCCUGGACAAAGAAUUACACCAGGGACACGUGUUUACAGUGAGAAGAGAAUAAUGGUUUUAGUUCCAGAAAUCCUGGGAUCUAGCGCAGAUUCGCCACCGACUGUCUCCAUAGUCCUCAUCAGUUAGGUAUACUUGCAGGCAGUACUGAACUUGAAAUUGUGGUCUGGAGACAGAGACAAGUGUCUUGUUAAAUGGAGAAAACAUCACCUCAAGCCUAUUACAACCUAGUCUUCCUUGCAAACUGUAAGCAUCUUUACUAGAUGUAGAAAGGCAGCCUGAAUUAUAAAACAACAAUAAAAAAAUCUUAACCAAU